rnacentral:lncRNA from 1 species
AUGCAACCACUCCUAUAUAUGCUAGGCCACACCAGUUGGUCAUCGCCACUCUGCCACUCUCAGUCACUCAGGCUGCACGCCACUCUGCCACUCUCAGUCCCUCAGACUACACGCCACUCUGCCACUCUCAGUCUCAUAGACUUCACGCUAGACAACAGCUUUAGCAGUAUUAUAUGGAAUGAAAAAAUUCCGGUUUUAUCAAAGUUAGAAAUUUUCAAUGCUGUUGCUGGAAGCAUAAUGUGUUAUUCAGCUCAAGUGGGAGGGGCUAGGAUAGAAACAAAAUUAGAAGUUUUUCACAAAGGUUUUAUCAAAAAGAUUCUAAGACUCCCGUUAUUUACUCCAGAUUAUAUGAUCUAUUUGGAAACAAAUGUAUUUCCUAUUAUAACUUUCUCUCUUAAACUUCAUUUGGACUUCAAAAACAGGUGCUUAAGAUUAUCGGAGGCAAGAUACCCAAGGUUAUUGGCGAACGAGCUCAUCAAAAAGAAAGUGUUUUGGUAUUCUGAGUGGCAAAACUUGGCUAGAUUAUACGGUAUUCAAAUUGAGAACUUCAUCUCCACGGAAUGUAAUGUGAUGGAGAUAAUAACGGAAGUAAAACGGCAACUUAAACUUCAAUACUGGCAAAAAAUGUGUGAGAGCGGGGGUCUAUGCAAGGAGCUUUACAUCGAAGAGGAGACAAAAUAUGUUCUAGAUCCAAAUCUGAAAGCUUCUGAAAUUAGUUGGAUUUUUAAAGUGAGGGGAGAACUUUUGUAUUUGAACAAGCACCUGUUUAGAAAGGGAAAAAAAAGCACCUGCUCCCUUUGUAAUACUAACCAAGAAGAAACUGUACUCCACUUCGUAGCUGAGUGCCCUGUGCUGGUUGAAUUUAGAAUUAGAUGGCUGCAGAAAAGGAAUCUAAGUAAAGAGGAGUUCAUAAACCAGUUAAAGGGGGCUGAUUGGAAAAGCUUAGUGAAAUAUUGUAAGCAUGCGUGGCAGUACAGGUUCUUCUUGGUUUCAAAAUUUAAUUUCUAA